UUCGGGCGCCGGCGAGUGGCGAACGGGUGAGUAACACGUGGAGACCUAUCCAUUGGUGGGGGACAACAGCUGGAAACGGCUGCUAAUACCGCAUAAUCCCUACGGGGGAAAGAUUUAUCGCCAUAGGAGGGUUCCGCGUCGGAUUAGCUAGUUGGUGGGGUAACGGCCUACCAAGGCAACGAUCCGUAGCUGGUCUUAGAGGAUGAUCAGCCACACUGGGACUGAGACACGGCCCAGACUCCUACGGGAGGCAGCAGUGGGGAAUAUUGCGCAAUGGAGGAAACUCUGACGCAGCGAUGCCGCGUGGGUGAAGAAGGCCUUAGGGUUGUAAAGCCCUUUCAGUGGGAACGAUGGUGGCGGUACCCACAGAAGAAGCCCCGGCUAACUCCGUGCCAGCAGCCGCGGUAAUACGGAGGGGGCGAGCGUUGUUCGGAAUUAUUGGGCGUAAAGCGCGCGUAGGCGGUUUAUUAAG
rnacentral:rRNA from 1 species